CCUACGGGUGGCAGCAGUGAGGAAUAUUGGUCAAUGGGCGAGAGCCUGAACCAGCCAAGUCGCGUGAGGGAGUACUGCCCUAUGGGUUGUAAACCUCUUUUGUCGGGGAGCAAAAGCCGGACGUGUCCGGCUGUGAGAGUACCCGAAGGAAAAGCAUCGGCUAACUCCGUGCCAGCAGCCGCGGUAAUACGGAGGAUGCGAGCGUUAUCCGGAUUUAUUGGGUUUAAAGGGUGCGCAGGCGGAUUUUUAAGUCAGCGGUAAAAUCGUGGGGCUCAACCCCAUCCAGCCGUUGAAACUGGGGAUCUAGAGUGUGCGAGAGGUAUGCGGAAUGCGUGGUGUAGCGGUGAAAUGCAUAGAUAUCACGCAGAACCCCGAUUGCGAAGGCAGCAUACCGGUGCACAACUGACGCUCAGGCACGAAAGCGUGGGUAUCGAACAGGAUUAGAUACCCCUGUAGUC
rnacentral:rRNA from 1 species